UCGGCCGACCUCAUCCCCACCAUUUUCGUCAGGGUCGGCGGUAGGUGGACCAGGAGCACACGGCUCCAGCCAUGGCGCCGCCUCCCACGCCGGUCAUCCUCAUCUGCUGCUUCUUCCACAAUAGAUCCACCGUCCCCCUACGCCGUCGCCGCGGAUCAACACCUGGGAGGUUCCAUGGCCACAGAUCGUGGUCGGGACCGGCAGCAGCGGACUUCACCGGUGCGGGCGUCGAGGAGAGCCACCUCAGCUUCUUCCAGCGCUGGUGGUCGUCCUCCCCAACGGCCUUCAUCUUCUCGCCGUGAGAGCCAGGCGGCGAGUCGGGAUGGCGGUGGCGGGGCCAUCUUCUCUGCCUCCCCGCGCCGGUGGAUGAGGAACAGGAGGGGAUGGGGCUGGCACGUCGUCCGGCGGCGGCGCCUGCGGUGAUCCGGUCCCUGCUCCCCCGCCUGCUGUUGCUGCUGCUGCUUUCCUCUCUUCUUGCUCUGGUUUUUCUCCUCUCAUGGCGGUUGCUCUGUCUAGAGAUUACUCCUCCUUUGAAAUCCUUUUCAGUUUUGGUUGGAUUAAUUGGAGUUCGCUUUGCUGCGCGAUUGCAAUUGUUCUUGAUUGAUUUGUUUGGCUCAUAAUAGUCCAAGGCGCUGUCCUUGUUGCUCUUCGCAUACUGAUUCCUGGUUAAGAAUGGUCUCCGCUUUGUGCACUUGUUCUUCUAUCUCCACGAAGAAAAUUGGCUUUCUCAAAAACCUGCAAAACUGGAAACAAGAAUUGCCUAUGAUUAGUAUGUUGCUCGCAAACGGAAUAGAUCGAAUCAACGCAGUUGAUGGAUACAGUACAUACUCCUUGCUUGUCUCUGGCUUUGCCUUCUACUGAUUGGUACAGAUGAGCCUGGGAAGCAAGUCCGGAGUGCUGUCAAGAUCAAGAACAUCAGCAAGUCUCAUAUAGCAUUUAAGGUUCUCUCAUAUGUUGGCGGGUUCCAGGGUGGAGAAGGUUGGAUCCUCGGUGGAGCAGGCCAAUGCGACCAACUCCGCCAUGGAUGUAGCUGGCAGUGGGAUUUUGACGUCGACCGUGAGUCUUCGGCACCGGCGCUGGUGGUGGUAUUACGCGAGUUGGGAUGUACCCCCUUCAUCUCAAUAUGUCGCAACCUCCUCUAUAUUCGUAGUUUUAGGAUUGAUCUAAUCUGAUCCUAGGGUGCAACAUAUGGCGACGGAGGGAGUAGUCAUUGGUUGCAAUUUUCUUGUUUUUUUUAUCAAGAUGAAUAUGUGUAUGUCUAUUUCCCAUCUGUAAUUUUUAUUGGUCUCGAACCAGCCUAAUAUUGUAUUCAUGCUGUGUAGGAUAUAUAAUUUGAAAAAAAAUACUCUUCUCGUA